UAACGCGUGAGGAACCUGCCUCAAAGAGGGGGACAACAGUUGGAAACGACUGCUAAUACCGCAUAAGCCCACGACCCGGCAUCGGGUUGAGGGAAAAGGAGCAAUCCGCUUUGAGAUGGCCUCGCGUCCGAUUAGCUAGUUGGUGAGGUAACGGCCCACCAAGGCGACGAUCGGUAGCCGGACUGAGAGGUUGAACGGCCACAUUGGGACUGAGACACGGCCCAGACUCCUACGGGAGGCAGCAGUGGGGAGUAUUGCACAAUGGGGGAAACCCUGAUGCAGCGACGCCGCGUGGAGGAAGAAGGUCUUCGGAUUGUAAACUCCUGUUGUUGAGGAAGAUAAUGACGGUACUCAACAAGGAAGUGACGGCUAACUACGUGCCAGCAGCCGCGGUAAAACGUAGGUCACAAGCGUUGUCCGGAAUUACUGGGUGUAAAGGGAGCGCAGGCGGGAAGACAAGUUGGAAGUGAAAUCCAUGGGCUCAACCCAUGAACUGCUUUCAAAACUGUUUUUCUUGAGUAGUGCAGAGGUAGGCGGAAUUCCCGGUGUAGCGGUGGAAUGCGUAGAUAUCGGGAGGAACACCAGUGGCGAAGGCGGCCUACUGGGCACCAACUGACGCUGAGGCUCGAAAGUGUGGGUAGCAAACAGGAUUAGAUACCCUGGUAGUCCACACUGUAAACGAUGAUUACUAGGUGU
rnacentral:rRNA from 1 species